GUGAAGGAAGGAGGUCGCCCAGGAGAGAGCCAGUCACACAGGUGGAUGGAUACGCCGAGGUGCUCUUUACUUUUGCCUUAGGGGCAACGUGUGUAGUGAUGUCUGAGGAGGGGCUGGACACUCAGUCAUUCGGCAGACAGAGAGAAGAAGGAGGAGAAGGGGGAGGGAGUGGUCCCUUGGGCCAGGUGAUAAGUGGCCCAUAUAGCGUUGGAGGACACAGCUGCCUGCAGCUCUUGUGACACGCAAGGACACUGGUCGUCUACCCUGGGAGAAUCGGCACGCCACACCCUGAGGAGAGGGGCGGAGUGUGUAUAUGUGACCUACGACCUCCAUCACAACAGGGUCUCAACCACAGGUUCAUUGCUCACAUGAUGCUUUAAAAAAAAAGGUGUUCCUGGCCCUGAGUUACCCUGCCGAUGGCUGCUUGCUCAGAGUUACUUUGUCAGAAACAUUUGUCAAGGUCUCCUUAGGAUGGAUGUAAUCCUGUCUUUUCCACCACUUCAGGGAAAUGAGCUGCUGGCAGGGCAAGGUCACACAUAGUGCUUUGCUAACGUAUUUGCAUGGAAGAGCCCCAGUGGCACAACGACUGUGGGAAAGAGGCUUGCUUUUUUUUCUAGUCUGGCACAGGAAUUAUUGAGACCUGAAGGGGUACCACAUGAAAGCACUGAGUCCAUAAAUAAAAACAUACAUCAGACGUGCUCUAACCCCUGCACAGAUUGUAAAAGCACACAGUUCUUUAUCAAUCCAAGCAAUGCAACAGAGAAAUAGAAAUAAUUGCAAAUAAGUAACAACACAGGCAAACCAGGCAGCUCUUGUAAAAACACAGGCAUAACCAAACAGGUGUUGAAAGCUAACUGUAAAGAUGCAAGAGACAGACUUUUGGCAAAACAGCUCACCGGACCUUGUGAUUCAUAUCUUCAAAAUGAUUAACCAGGGCAAACAACAGCUUCUUAGCAAUCCCAUUAACUUUGUUAAAAAAGUUGCAGAAGCAGCACAUCCCCUUAAGUGCUCCUCAUCUAAUCAAAUCCAAGGUCUUCUGGGGAUGAGGAAGGAGAUACACCGUCCCUAAACAGCUAGCACAUGCCUAUCAGGUGGAAACGGAACGGAAAGAUAAUGGGAUGUGUGUGGAUGAAAAGGAAU